UGAGGGGGGCUGCUCCUAGUACGAGAGGACCGGAGUGGACGCAUCACUGGUGUUCGGGUUGUCAUGCCAAUGGCACUGCCCGGUAGCUAAAUGCGGAAAAGAUAAGUGCUGAAAGCAUCUAAGCACGAAACUUGCCCCGAGAUGAGUUCUCCCUGAGACUAUAAGUCUCCUGAAGGAACGUUGAAGACGACGACGUUGAUAGGUCGGGUGUGUAAGCGUAGCGAUGCGUUGAGCUAACCGGUACUAAUGAACCGUGAGGCUUAACCUUACAACGCCGAAG
rnacentral:rRNA from 1 species